rnacentral:rRNA from 1 species
AGAGUUUGAUCCUGGCUCUUGACCAACGCUGGCGGCGUGCCUAAUACAUGCUAGUCGAGCGGAACACAGGGAGCUUGCUCCCGGUGUUUAGCGGCGGACGGGUGAGUAACACGUGGGCAACCUGCCCUGCAGAUCGGGAUAACUCCGGGAAACCGGAGCUAAUACCGAAUAGUUUUUGGCCCCUCCUGGGGCGAAACGGAAAGACGGUCUCGGCUGUCACUGCAGGAUGGGCCCGCGGCGCAUUAUCUAGUUGGUGAGGUAACGGCUCACCAAGGCGACGAUGCGUAGCCGACCUGAGAGGGUGAUCGGCCACUCUGGGACUGACACACCGCCCAUACUCCUACGGGAGGCAGCAGUACGGAAUCUUCCGCAAUGGACGAAAGUCUGACGGAGCAACGCCGCGUGAGUGAAGAAGGUUUUCGGAUCGUAAAACUCUGUUGUAAGGGAAGAACACAUACCAGUUAACUGCUGGUACCUUGACGGUACCUUACCAGAAAGCCACGGCUAACUACGUGCCAGCAGCCGCGGUAAUACGUAGGUGGCAAGCGUUGUCCGGAAUUAUUGGGCGUAAAGCGCGCGCAGGCGGUCCCUUAAGUCUGAUGUGAAAGCCCACUGCUCAACCGUGGAGGGUCAUUGGAAACUGGGGGGACUUGAGUGCAGAAGAGGAAAGUGGAAUUCCAUGUGUAGCGGUGAAAUGCGUAGAGAUGUAGAGGAACUCCAGUGGAGAAGGCGACUUUCUGGUCUGUAACUGACGGUGAGGCGAGAAAGCGUGGGGAGCAAACAUGAUUAGAUUCAGCGUUAGUCCACGCCGUGAGCGCUGAGUGCUAAGUGUUAGGUCGUUUCCGCACCUGAGCGUUGCAGCUAACGCACUGAGCACUCAGUCUGCCGAGUACCGCUGCAAGGUUGAAACUCAAAGGAAUUGACGGGGGCCCGCACAAGCGGUGGAGCAUGUGGUUUAAUUGGAAGCAACGCGAAGAACCUUACCAGGUCUUGACAUCCCGCUGCCCCCCUUAGAGAUAAGGCUUUCCCUUCGGGGACAACGGUGACAGGUGGUGCAUGGUUGUCGUCAGCUCGUGUCGUUAGAUGUUGGGUUAAGUCCCGCAACGAGCGCAACCCUUGAUCUUAGUUGCCAGCAUUCAGUUGGGCACUCUAAGGUGACUGCCGGUGACAAACCGGAGGAAGGUGGGGAUGACGUCAAAUCAUCAUGCCCCUUAUGACCUGGGCUACACACGUGCUACAAUGGACGGUACAAAGGGCUGGGACCCCGAGAGGGCAAGCCAAUCCCAGAAAACCGUUGUCAGUUCGGAUUGUAGGAUGCAACUCCCCCGCACGAAGCCGGAAUCGCUAGUAAUCGUGGAUCAGCAUGCCACGGUGAAUACGUUUCCGGGCCUUGUACACACCGCCCGUCACACCACGAGAGUUUGUAACACCCGAAGUCGGUGGGGUAACCCUUACGGGAGCCAGCCGCCGAAGGUGGGACAGAUGAUUGGGGGGACGUCGUAACAAGGUAGCCGU